GACGAACCGUGCGAACGUUGUUCGGAAUCACUGGGCUUAAAGGGCGCGUAGGCUGGCCGCCAAGUCAGGGGUGAAAUCCUCCAGCUUAACUGGAGAACGGCCUCUGAUACUGGCGGCCUCGAGGAAGGUAGGGGCGUGUGGAACUCUAGGUGGAGCGGUGAAAUGCGUUGAUAUCUAGAGGAACUCCGGUGGCGAAGGCGACACGCUGGACCUUUUCUGACGCUGAGGCGCGAAAGCCAGGGGAGCAAACGGG
rnacentral:rRNA from 1 species